UACGUAGGGGGCAAGCGUUGUCCGGAUUUAUUGGGCGUAAAGAGCGUGUAGGCGGCCUUACAGGUCAGCUGUGAAAACUCGAGGCUCAACCUCGAGACGUCGGUUGAAACCGUAAGGCUAGAGUCCGGAAGAGGAGAGUGGAAUUCCCGGGUGUAGCGGUGAAAUGCGCAGAUAUCGGGAAGAACACCCGUGGCGAAGGCGGCUCUCUGGGACGGUACUGACGCUGAGACGCGAAAGCGUGGGGAGCGAACAGG
rnacentral:rRNA from 1 species